rnacentral:rRNA from 1 species
GUGGGGAAUUUUGGACAAUGGGCGCAAGCCUGAUCCAGCAAUGCCGCGUGCAGGAAGAAGGCCUUCGGGUUGUAAACUGCUUUUGUACGGAACGAAACGGUCCUGGCUAAUAUCCGGGGCUAAUGACGGUACCGUAAGAAUAAGCACCGGCUAACUACGUGCCAGCAGCCGCGGUAAUACGUAGGGUGCGAGCGUUAAUCGGAAUUACUGGGCGUAAAGCGUGCGCAGGCGGUGCUGUAAGACAGGCGUGAAAUCCCCGGGCUCAACCUGGGAAUUGCGCUUGUGACUGCAAGGCUGGAGUGCGGCAGAGGGGGAUGGAAUUCCGCGUGUAGCAGUGAAAUGCGUAGAUAUGCGGAGGAACACCGAUGGCGAAGGCAAUCCCCUGGGCCUGCACUGACGCUCAUGCACGAAAGCGUGGGGAGCAAACAGGAUUAGAAACCCCUGUAGUCC